UACGUAGGGCGCAAGCGUUGUCCGGAAUUAUUGGGCGUAAAGAGCUCGUAGGCGGCUUGUCACGUCGGGUGUGAAAGCCCGGGGCUUAACCCCCAGGUCUGCAUUCGAUACGGGCAGGCUAGAGUUCGGUAGGGGAGACGUGGAAUUCCUGGUGUAGCGGUGAAAUGCGCAGAUAUCAGGAGGAACACCGGUGGCGAAGGCGGGUCUCUGGGCCGAUACUGACGCUGAGGAGCGAAAGCGUGGGGAGCGAACAGG
rnacentral:rRNA from 1 species